rnacentral:lncRNA from 1 species
CCGGUCAAAGGAUCAAAUGAGCCUGAUUUACGUGAAAAGUUUAUGGUUUUAGAUGUCACAAAAGAUUGUUUACUUGUGGACUAUGGGUCAUGGGGAAAUGGAUAUCCCAGGUGCAUAUUGUGGGGUUUUAAUACCGCCAAUACCAAACAGACAAGAUGUUUUACGACCAUGAA